rnacentral:rRNA from 1 species
GCGCACCAGUCGCGAAUAGUCUACAAUGGACGAAAGUCUGAUAGUGCGACGCCGUGUGUGCGAUUAAUUCCUUCGGGAUGUAAAGCACUUUUCUAUGAGAUAAAAGCUCUUUAGGUUAAUAGCUUAUUGAGACGGAUAUUAUUAUAGGAAUAAGCUCCGGCUAACUCCGUGCCAGCAGCCGCGGUAAUACGGAAGGAGCGAGCGUUGUCCGGAUUUUACUAGGCGUAAAGGGCUAGUAGGCGACUAAUUAAGUUAUAUGUUAAAUCCCACGGCUCAACUGUGGUCCUGCAUGUAAUACUGGUUAGAUAGAGUACUGUAGAGGAAGGCAGAAUUCCUGGAGUAGCGGUGGAAUGCGCAGAUAUCAGGAGAAUACCAAAAGCGAAGGCAGCCUUCUGGGCAGUUACUGACGCUGAAUAGCGAAGGUGUGGGUAGCGAACAGG